CUGCCAGGAACGUAGCUUGUGCUGUAAGCUGCCUGCAACUACUACCGUGUCCCGAGUCAACGAGUCUCUUGGCAUCCGGAAUAUUUUUUAUUUUAAUCCUUUUAAACUAACAUUUUAAAAAUAACAUGUGAAAAAUUAAAUACCUAGUAACUAAUCUUUUUAUUAUGUCCAAAUACAUAACAUUACUCAUCAACAUAGUUACACCACAUAAAUUGUGACGAUCAAGAUAACUACACUUGCGUUAGCCUCGACGCCUUUACACUCGGGGGCUAAUGUGGUACCCCUGAGUCAUGCCAAAGGUGUUGUCGCGACCACUGUAACACCAAUGGUAUUGACGUGACUUAGGCCAAUACAGAGUGCCGCGUCACGCCGGCCGCCCUCCUCUCCCUCUCACUCCUCCACCUCCUUCCUCCAGAUCGAGCCCGAGGACCUUGCUUUCACCCCUCUUCCCUCUCCUCUAAAUUCUGCAUCAAAUUCAUCGAUUUUGGACCCAAAUCAAAGGGGAUUUCAUCAGAAAUUACUCAUUGAAGGUAAAUACUUCAUUGCGUCCAUUCAAUUUAGAUUUUCUCCCUAGUUUUAUAUGGUUUUCGGUUAGCUAGGGUUUGAAGAUUAGGUGAUGAAAAUAUUGAAAUUUGGUUAGAUUAGCUUGUGGUUGUUUGUUGUUGUUAAAUACUUAAUAUAACACAUUUAUUUUGCUUGUACGUAGACCAUUUUACUAUUGUAGUUUGUGUUGUGAAAUUGAUUGUUCAAGAUGGUAACCAAGUUUAGUGCAUAGGAUUUGAUAGUGUUGAAUGUAAAAGUGUUUGUGCAUGUCAAAUUUGUAAUGAAUUGGUAUUUAUGCAGUUGUAUAGUAUGAUGACCAAUUUGUGGUGUAAGUAAAAGUGGGCACACAUCGACAAGAAGUAUCCGCUCUCUCUGUUCUAACUUGUGAUUAUGGAGUGGGAGAUGUACUACUUCUUUCAAUGGAUUGAUGUGCCUGAGAUGUAUGACCUUAGAAUUCUGAAGGUGAAACGAUUUAGUCAAUAUCUGAAUUCAUAUGGCAAGUUUGUUCAUUGGGUUCCUCCUCUACCAAAUCCACCAAAACUAACGAAUAAAGAGAAGCGGGAAGUGAGCAGAAGACGUGUAGUGGAUCCUCCGUUGUGUAAGUGUGGGAAGCGAAUCAUGAUUUAUGAACCUUGUGGGAGAUCUCCUUAUUUCCGUUGUGAAGGGAUGAUAAAGAUUUAUUGUACGGUCUCUAUGGUGAAUGAAUAGAGGAGGAAGAGGAUUAAGUGAAGGGGAAUAGGGUGAUAGAACCACGUCAUCCAAGGAGUUGCACUUGUGGCGUGAAAGCUCGAUACGGGAUAGUGCCCUCCGAACUUGGUGUAGGAUACUACUAUGGGCAUGUGGUUAGCAAGGACAUGGUUAGUUUUAUGCAUAUUAUCUAUAUUUUCUAUUUCGAUAUCCUAUGUUGGUUGUACCUUGUUAAUGGGAGUUCAUAUGAUUUUGUUUUCAUGAAUAGAGUACGCAUACAUGUUCAUGGGAGGGGUACAUUGAUAAAGAUGAGGUGGAUCAUGAAAUUGCAUGGCAGAGUAAGUGUCAUCCGAUGGUGCUGCCAAGCUAUCUAGAGCACCGUAAGAAGGCAACUCGUGAUUUUUACCAUAGUAUGUAUCAUCAGAAUAAGAGGAGAGCCAUGAAGGGUCAAGAGGCAAUGGCUAAGGUGGUGCAAAUAGAUAAAAUGAAGGCUUUUAUUGCUAAUUUGCAUGUGCUAGUCUCGGACGACGACGACAAUGAUGAGUUGCUCUAUGAUGGGUCAGACGAUUAGCGUGAGGGGUCCGUUCGAUAGGUAUAUGGUUAGUGUCUUAUAUUAACAUACUAUGUGAUGAACUAUUUGUGAACUUCAUCUGUAAACAUCGUCGAUUGUAAUAUGUGAACCAUAUGGAUUGUUUUAUUUGUGUGUUUGGUAUAUUUAUUUGAGAAAUUUGGACGUGUUAAAUGAC